AUAUCAGUGUUUUCACUGUUCUGAACCCAGCACCUAGCACAGCUCCUGAUAGAGCUGUGUCAAACAUGACAGAACUCCUGAUAGAGCUGAGUCAACAUGUCCGUUCAAUGAGUGGAUAGGAGUGGGCUAUCCCAAUGCAAAUUUCAAAGCUCUCAGCAAGACAAGGUGGAGGUUUCAGCUGUCAAUCACUAUGGGGAAAAUAAACAAAACAGCAAAGACUGUGAAGAGGUCAAAGAAGCAGAGCUCUCUUCAUGGCUGUCACUGGCUGGUGGUUCCUGUAUUCUCUUUUAAAUGAUGACUUCAAAGGUUCCCAAGAAGGGGACUGAGCACUUCUCUAGCCAUGUCUGGGGUCUCACUGACAGCCCUUGACCACUUAGAAGUGAAACGAGUCUGCUCAGACUCUCACCCGUGACCCUGGCUGCCAAGUCCUGCAGGGGCUGGAGGUAUUCUCAACUCCCCCCAGCCUGCAUCAGCUCCUGGAGGCAGCCCAGAUUUCUUGGAUCAUAGCCCCCUUUGUCUUUAAAGCCAUCCAAGGUUCGUGGAGUCUUUCCCAGAUCACAUGUUCUUGACACACACACUCAUCCAUCUUCUAAAGACCCAUGUGAGUAUGCUGGGCCCACCUGAAUAAUCCAGGACACUCUAUUUUAAGGUCAGUCGAUUAGCAGCAUUAUUUCCAUCAAUAAACUUAAUCCCCCCUUACCAUGUAGGGAACAUAUUCACAGGUUUGGGGGAUUAGGACAUGGACAUCUUUUAGGGGAGGCAGUUUUCUUUCUUUCAUAACUGGUUACAAUUGACUUCUGCUCCUUGAAAUUUGUCCCUUUCCUCCGAAUAUAAGAAAUAUCAGCUGGAAAGACAGCUUCCAACUCCAGGUAAAGCUGGUCUUCUCCCCCGUCACCUAAAGUUCCUACAUGGACAGACACUGGCCUAAGUUUCUCAUAAAGAACCAGCAGAUGCCAGCUUUCCAGGAAGCUCGCUCCCCCAGUAACAAGAAGCCUCUUCAAGGACCCUCUGUCCUUUGAAGACCUCACUCUUAGAUCAUAUUUCUGGUCUGAGGGAGCCUCUGUUCAUGGCACAGUGCUGUGGCCAAGAGGCUGAUAUGCCUAGACACCACAAAGAAUCCUGCUGCUGGGUGCACUCUGCACCUACCCCACAAGGAUUUUAUGACACCCUCCAGGAUUCCACUCUUGGGAAUGGCCUCUAGAGUGAGAAUUUGCCAUCUAAAAUAGUUUGAACAAUGGAAACAAGAAUCCAUAUAUGUGUGUGUGUGUGUGUGUGUGUAUGUGUAUGUGUGUGUGUGUGUAUAAUUUGUAAGACGGAAGGAGGAGAAGUUUGCCAACCACCUGUCACAAGGUGAUAGGCACUGCUCUGUGUGCCAUGUCACCAAUCCCAUGCUCUGCACAGCAGGCUGCUAUAGGGCUGCAUUCUGGAUCCACCCCUGUGCCACCUUGGCCAAGCUACGGCAGCUCCUUGAGCUUCAGUUUUGUUCUUCCCCAAAUGCGAAAGGCUAAUUUGAAGAGUGAGGAAAAGAUAGCAGGUGUGUAGCUCCCUACUCCUCCCUGCACCAUUUGCCUCUCCCCUCCCUUCUAACUCAGUUUUCCACACUUCUCUCUCAUUGUUCUCAUUCUGCUUCAUUUCUUUCCAAAGAGCCUAGAAAUAACAUGUUGCUAUUUUCAGCACCCCUUUCCCCCAUCCUGACACAUAUACGUAUACAUAUACACAUACACACAAACACACAUGCACACACACUGGAUAGAGAUGUGGAGAUGGUGUGGCGAUGCCUUGUCCUCCCCAAGUCAAGCCUGGUUUGUGCAUGGAGAGGAGCUAAACCCACAAGAAGAAGGAACUGAGCACACAGCAGGAAGGCUUGAGCAUUAUGGCUGUAGGAGGGGAAGUAUUUGGGAUCAUUUGAAUUAACACCCACACAGCUUUCCGAUUUGAGAGCCCCAUUCCAUUACCCUGGCCCAGUACUGCUCUGCUGUGUCCUAAACUCUUUCUCUUCUACCAUAGGGAUGCUGAGCAGGUGAGCAGCACCACAGAGUGGGGAGUGGAGUGGGGGGAUUGGUCAGCUGCUGAAUCCACCAGCAAUGAUUUCUGGACCAGAAUCAGCCCAAGCAACAUCCUUCCCUACUGGAAAAACCUAAACUCAAAGUGCCAGACAAACACGGCUCUUCAGCACUCCCUGAUGGGUGCUGUGCUUCUUUCUAGACCCCAUUUAUAAAUUUGAACUGAACAGAUGUGUUACAUGGAAAUACUUUAAAACAUUAUUAGGAACAGAUUUUGCAUUAGUGGUAAUAAAUCCAUACCGGCAGUCACUUCUUAUUUUUGCCUGUUUGAUAACUUGAAAAACAAAUUCUGUUCCAGAAUAAAUUUGGGUAAAUGG